CUAAAUCUUACUUUAGAUAAAUUUUCUUCUGUUAUUUCAUAAUGUGUACUAAAUUGUAGUUAAAAUAAAUGUCAGGCUUCCUUUAUUUCAUAUAUUGUAGCCUGUAAAUCAGGUUUGAGAGUCAGAGCUGAGGAGAAAACUUUGGCUCUCUCUGCUGCUCCAUCAGUGACCCUCCCCCUCCCCCUGUGCACCUGCACUGCAGCUCGCAAACUUUUGCAGGGCAUGUGACGUCAUUCAGUCCACAGUCGGAGUGGCCGUUUAAGUGGAGCUCUGAAGACUGCAAAGCUUUCUGCAGGUGAAGGAAGCCACGGCAGCAAGCCAAACACAGACGAUAAUGUGGCCCUCGCAUGCAGCGAUGACGGCUGUUCUGAUAAUUGUGGUAAGUGUUACCUGCUCACUAGUACAGCUGUUGGUAUACUGCCUCAUGAAUAAGCUGCAUUUGUGAUAAACUGCUAUGCAACUGCAAGUUAUGUAUGUGACAUUGACUAAUAUUAGAGAGUGACGU